GUCCUUGUUCGACAAGACUUAG
rnacentral:snRNA from 1 species